rnacentral:rRNA from 1 species
AUUUAGCCAUGCUAGUUGCACGAGUUCAUAUUCGUGGCAGAUAGCUCAGUAACACGUGGCCAAACUACCCUAUGGAGAACGAUAACCUCGGGAAACUGAGGCUAAUAGUUCAUACGGCUCUCUCCCUGGAACUGGGUUGAGUUCGAAACGCUACGGCGCCAUAGGAUGUGGCUGCGGCCGAUUAGGUAGACGGUGGGGUAACGGCCCACCGUGCCAAUAAUCGGUACGGGUUGUGAGAGCAAGAGCCCGGAGACGGAAUCUGAGACAAGAUUCCGGGCCCUACGGGGCGCAGCAGGCGCGAAAACUUUACACUGCACGACAGUGCGAUAAGGGAACUCCGAGUGCGAGGGCAUAGAGCCCUCGCUUUUCUGAACCGUAGGGUGGUACAGGAACAAGAACUGGGCAAGACCGGUGCCAGCCGCCGCGGUAACACCGGCAGCUCGAGUGAUGACCGAUUUUAUUGGGCCUAAAGCGUCCGUAGCUGGCCGAGAGGGUCUGUCGGGAAAUCUGCUCGCUCAACGAGCAGGCGUCCGGCGGAAACUGUUCGGCUUGGGACCGAACGACCUGAGGGGUACGUCUGGGGUAGGAGUGAAAUCCCGUAAUCCUGGACGGACCACCGGUGGCGAAAGCGCCUCAGGAAAACGGAUCCGACAGUGAGGGACGAAAGCUGGGGUCACGAACCGGAUUAGAUACCCGGGUAGUCCCAGCUGUAAACGAUGCUCACUAGGUGUGGCACUGGCUACGAGCUCGUGCUGUGCCGUAGCGAAGGCGAUAAAUGAGCCGCCUGGGAAGUACGUCCGCAAGGAUGAAACUUAAAGGAAUUGGCGGGGGAGCACUACAACCGGAGAGCCUGCGGUUUAAUUGGACUCAACGCCGGACAUCUCACCAGCUCCGACAGUA